ensembl:lncRNA
CAAGUUCAAUAGACAACCCCCUUGGUCCUUUGUCUAGGAGAAUAGCUACCAUUGAAGGCCAUGAGCAGAUUUCCUCGGGGCAGUGAUUCUUUUUCACCCCUUUGAAUUCAGAAGGAUGGCACAGACAUCUAAAAAACAGAAGAUUAGCCCUGAGCUAACAUCUGCUGCCAAUCCUCCUCUUUUUGCUGAAGAAGACUGGCCCUGAGCUAACAUCUGUGCCUAUCUUCUUCUACUUUAUAUGUGGGACGCCUACCACAGCAUGGCUUGCCAAGCGGUGCCAUGUCCGCGCCCAGGAUCCCAACUGGUGAACCCCUGGGCUGCUAAAGCGGAAUGUGCACACUUAACCGCUGUGCCACCAGGCCAGCCCAAUAGUUUUUAAUGGUUAUGUAGUAUUCUGAUAUAUGGGUGUGGUAUACAAAAUUGAACGAAUCACCUAUCUUUAUAGGUUGUUUUCAAUUUCUUUUUGUUAUUACAAACAACGCUGCAGUGAAUAAACUCAUAAAUUUAUGGAAUUUCCUCAGGAUGAUUCUCAGAAGUGUAAAUCCUGAGACAAUCUUAUGCCUAUUUGUCAGACAUAUUAUAUCCAUGCAUAUUGCCAAUCACCCCGCAGAAAUUUUUAACAAUUUCCAGUUCCCUCAACGGUGUAUGAGAUUUCUCAUCUCCCCAUACCUUUGCUAACAUUGGUUAUUGCCACCUUUUUAAAUAUUUUCUAAUCUGAUGUAUAAAAUGUCAUAUCAUUAUUUGAAAAUACAUUAUUAUUACUAGUGACCAUAAAACUUUUAAUAUGCUUAUUGAACAUUUAUAUUUUUGUAAAUUUUCUGUUUAUGUUCUUUCCUCCCAUUCUUUUAAAAUUGAAGUGUUUUAUUAGAAAUAAGUUUUCAUGAUUACGAUAGUAACCUUUUAUUUGAUGUAUUUGGAAAAUAUGUGUGUGAAUAUGCUUUGGUUAGAGUUUGAAAAGGGGAAGGAAUAAAUGAGUUUGAAUCCACUGGAGGUUAACAAGAAGACUUUUUCUAAAUCUCAAAUCUGAACCUUUAAAACUUGCUUUAAAACUUUUGCUAAUUUGCCUUUACCAUGGAAUGAAGCCUACAUUCUAAAACUUGGCACGCUGGUCCACCACCGUCUGCUUCAGCUGACCUUCCUCUCCUCUUCCCAGCCACUUUCUCAUGUGCCAGUGACGUGCUCGAGCACAGCAGCUUGUGAGAGCUGACUGUGCACAUCUCUCUGCAGCUGCAUGAUAAGUAAUGUCAUGUUGAUAGUCUGAAAUCAGCCACGGGGGAGUAUUUACACCAUAGAAACUGGCAAACUGGAGAAAUUAGGGCUUUUUUCCCCCUAGAGACUCAAUUAUUAAAUAUUUACCAGUAUCCCACCACAUAUACCCUAAACUCUGGGCAUCCUAAACUGCUUAGCAGUCCCAAUCCAGGUCAGGACUGAGGCAUGUAGGCAACCCAGACAGAGUAAUAGCUAAUAUUUGGUCAACACAUAUUAGCAAUGUGUGAGAGAGGCAGGGGGGCAGACCCGCUAGUGGCAGUGCGCUGCCUCUCUGUCUUUGUUCUGAGCAACCAGAUUCUAGUCCAAAGUAGCCCACCCUCUGCAGUCACGCCAAGCCUGCAGGUAGUUGACCUAUCCUUCUU